rnacentral:rRNA from 1 species
CAGCCGCCGCGGGAACACGGAGGGUGCAAGCGUUAUCCGGAUUUAUUGGGUUUAAAGGGUCCGUAGGCGGAUCUGUAAGUCAGUGGUGAAAUCUCACAGCUUAACUGUGAAACUGCCAUUGAUACUGCAGGUCUUGAGUAAAUUUGAAGUGGCUGGAAUAAGUAGUGUAGCGGUGAAAUGCAUAGAUAUUACUUAGAACACCAAUUGCGAAGGCAGGUCACUAAGAUUUAACUGACGCUGAUGGACGAAAGCGUGGGGAGCGAACAGGAUUAGAGACCCCAGUAGUCCCUGUCUCUUAUAC